UACGUAGGGCGCGAGCGUUGUCCGGAAUUAUUGGGCGUAAAGAGCUCGUAGGCGGCCUGUUGCGUCCGCUGUGAAAUCCCGGGGCUUAACCCCGGGCGUGCAGUGGAUACGGGCUGGCUGGAGGCAGGCAGGGGAGAACGGAAUUCCCGGUGUAGCGGUGAAAUGCGCAGAUAUCGGGAGGAACACCGGUGGCGAAGGCGGUUCUCUGGGCCUGUUCUGACGCUGAGGAGCGAAGGCGUGGGGAGCAAACAGG
rnacentral:rRNA from 1 species